rnacentral:rRNA from 1 species
AUUACCGAGUUUACAACUCCCAAACCCCUGGGAACAUACCAUAUCGUUGCCUCGGCGGUGCCUGUUUCGGCAGCCCGCCAGAGGACCCAAACCCUAGAUUUUAUUACAGUAUCUUCUGAGUAAAUGAUUAAAUAAAUCAAAACUUUCAACAACGGAUCUCUUGGUUCUGGCAUCGAUGAAGAACGCAGCGAAAUGCGAUAAGUAAUGUGAAUUGCAGAAUUCAGUGAAUCAUCGAAUCUUUGAACGCACAUUGCGCCCGCCAGUAUUCUGGCGGGCAUGCCUGUUCGAGCGUCAUUUCAACCCUCAAGCCCCCGGGCUUGGUGUUGGAGAUCGGCGAAGCCCUCCGGGGCGCGCCGCCUCCCAAAUAUAGUGGCGGUCUCGCUGUAGCUUCCUCUGCGUAGUAGCACACCUCGCACUGGAAAACAGCCUGGCCACGCCGUAAAACCCCCCACUUCUGAAAGGUUGACCUCGGAUCAGGUAGGAAUACCCGC